UACGAAGGGGGCUAGCGUUGUUCGGAAUUACUGGGCGUAAAGCGCGUGUAGGCGGGUCUUUAAGUCAGGGGUGAAAUGCCAAGGCUCAACCUUGGAACUGCCUUUGAUACUGGAGACCUUGAGUCCGGGAGAGGUGAGUGGAAUUGCGAGUGUAGAGGUGAAAUUCGUAGAUAUUCGCAAGAACACCAGUGGCGAAGGCGGCUCACUGGCCCGGUACUGACGCUGAGGUGCGAAAGCGUGGGGAGCAAACAGGGAAUUAGAAACCUGG
rnacentral:rRNA from 1 species